GCUGGGUGUGGUGGCCUGUGCCUGUAGUCCCAGCUACCUGGGAGGCUGAGGUGGGAGAAUCACCUGCGCCCAGGAGGUCGAGGUUGCAGUGAGCCAAGAUUGUGCCACUGUACUCCAGCCUGGGCGACAGAGCGAGACCCUAUCUCAA
ensembl:misc_RNA Metazoa_SRP Metazoan signal recognition particle RNA